rnacentral:rRNA from 1 species
CUCGAACGUAAGAUGACUGUAGGUGAAAGCUUACAUCUCUUCGGAGCAUUUUACGAGGUGCUGCAUGGUUGUCGGUCAGCUCGUGCCGUGAGGUGUCGGGUUAAGUCCCAUAACGAGCGCAACCCUACCUUUAGUUGCCAUCAGGUAAUGCUGGGGACUCUAAAGGAACUGCCUACGCAAGUAGUGAGGAAGGCGGGGAUGACGUCAAAUCAGCACGGCCCUUACGUCCAGGGCUACACACGUGCUACAAUGGCCGAUACAGAGGGCAGCUACCUGGUGACAGGAUGCAAAUCUCCAAAGUCGGUCUCAGUUCGGAUCGGAGUCUGCAACCCGACUCCGUGAAGUUGGAUUCGCUAGUAAUCGCGCAUCAGCCAUGGCGCGGUGAAUACGUUCCCGGGCCUU